UGACUCCUGACAUGUGCAGUCUGUGGAUCUGCUCUUUUUCUCAUCUCUCAUGAUUCCUUCUGGUUUGCUCAGUUUGCUGCUACCCAAGGCAGCACCAGGCUCAACUUAUACAUAAAAUACUUACUUUUUAGUCAGUCCUAUGUAGAGAUGAGCGGGUUCGGUUCUCGAGAUCCGAAACCCCCCCGAACUUCACGUGUUUUUCACGGGUCCGGUUAACCCGAACGAGAUCGAACGUCAUGAUUCGUGGAACUGCACAUCCCAGCAAGUUGUACUGCAUUUGCUGAUUAUCUCAAAUGAAUAUCAUGAUUGAAUAGUUUAGGUAUAUUGAAAAAGGGAUUUCCGCUAGUCACAUGACGUGUAUGUCUGUGUGAAUGGGAAUCCCGCUAUGACGUAAAUUGGUGUACCAUGUGACCAUGCCCCCGGAAGUCUGUCGGGUCCACCAGCGCUGUCGCGCGAGAGUGAGGUCACCGGGACUCCGUGUGUGGUGGGCGUCUGGAUGCACCUUCACAUUCUUUGCCCAGGUGUUGGAUAUAACCUCACACGGAAUACAUACUGGAGACCGUCAGACGGGAUCUCGGCUGACACUAUACCGAUAGCGGCAUCCCAGCAGCCGGAAUCCUGGCAGUCAGGCAGUGAGUCCCCUCGUGGGCUCGAUGCGCUUGCUAUGCUUUGGGCCACGCCACCACCCAAGUGGGAAUAUGUGGCUGCAGUAGAGAUUUCGUCCGCCGGCAUUUUCCCAGCUGCCCGGAUUCCUGCAUCCCCCUCAUAUGCUUUAUAAUCUCUACAUUACAGUUUAAACAACUUCUUAUCUUUCUCCCAUAGAUACAUACCAAUAAACUUAGAUCUCAUAAUAUUAAAGGCCUGGAUAGUCCUGAAAAAUUUAACUUGACCUGUCAAAAAUACCAUAUGUUUGUAAAUCCAGUCAUAAGGACACAGAGACAUGUGAGUUCACUGCUGUGCUGUUUAUUCCAUCACCAACUCCAGGCACACUGCACACUGGACCACCCACUUCCCAGCAUCCCCCUGGUCCCAGGGACCAUCACUGAAGAUUCAGGCUUACUCAUAUUAGUAAGGGAGUGUCUACAAAUAUUAAGCAUUCUAAUACACUAACAUCACAGUCAUGAACCUAAAUUCUGUUAUCUGCAAUUUCCCCAUUCUCUCAAGCUUCCAGAGUGGACAAAACUAUAUGAGAGUCCAUAGUGCCUCACGGAAGCAUUCAAUUCCAUCUUAAUGAGAUCAUCAAAGAUACAGUACCUUGCUGUAUAUGGAUCUCUUCAUCAUCUGGAUGUCAUUAAACUCAACAUUUAUGCUCCAAAUCAAAGAAAACUCCAAGUUGCAGACAAGCUGUUUACUGUAACCCUAUCAUUGAUGACUAGAGACCUGAAUCUCCAACAUAAGCUUGGAUAAGUUUUUGUAAUGCUUAUCAGGAUCACACUCCCAGCUUCCAACUUCUUUAUAGAUGCUUCUUCCCACUUUCCUACUCAUUGACACCUGAUGUUUAAUACAUUCCAGAGAUCCACUACUGUAUAUACUGUACAUUCUUUUUCCAUUCUUGUGAAGUCUAAGGCAGGAUUGGCGUUAUGUAUUCUAAUGCAAUCAGUCCAAACUCUCUUCAACAGAAAUAAAUCAAAUUAUGUGGGUUGAUCAUAGAAU